CGUGCACUCUCUCCUAGGACCAGCAGCCCAGUGUUGAGCAGCCUCAACAAGAGAAACCGCCAGCUGAGAGUCAGGAUAUCACACCUAGAAAGGAGGAAGUACAUGGAGAGGAUCCAGUGAAUCGUGAUGAAGAAGAGGAGAAGGAUCCCUUUGAAGAUUCUGGCCUGGAAGCUGAUCUCCAGCAAUUGGCUCUGGCAAAGACUGGGGGUGAAGGUGGAGAUGGUCCCGAUGUCAGGGAGGAGUUUGCAUCAAAUACAGAGCCUGGUGAAAUGCCAGAAGCAGGUAGUUCGGACCCCAGAUGCCUGAAUGCCUGACUUACAGACUUUCAAAUAAAGAAACAGACAGGAUCA
rnacentral:lncRNA from 1 species